GACGAACGCUGGCGGCGUGCCUAAUACAUGCAAGUCGAACGCAGUGGGGACGGGUGAGUAACACGUGGGUAACCUCCCAUCAGAGGGGAUAACACUUGGAAACCGGUGCUAAACCGAUACUGAUGGAUGGACCCGCGGUGCAUGAGCUAGGUGGGGAGGUAACGGCUCACCAAGGCCACGAUGCAUAGCCGGCCUGAGAGGGUGAUAGGCCACACGGGGAAGGCGACAGGGCCCAGAAUCCUACGGGAGGCAGCAGUAGGGAAUCUGGGGCAAUGGACGAAAAUCUGACCGAGCAACGCCGGGUGAGUGAAGAAGGUUUUCGGAUCGUAAAACUCUUUUGUUAGAGAGGCGAUAUCUAACCAGAAAGCCACGGCUAACUCCGUGCCAGCAGCCGCGGUAAUAC
rnacentral:rRNA from 1 species